rnacentral:lncRNA from 1 species
GAAGUACACUUCAGAAGAUGGGUAUGAGGGAUGCCUUUGCUGAAAGUGCUGACUUUCCUGGAAUCACAAAAGACAAUGGUCUAAAACUUUCCUAUGCUUUUCACAAGGCUGUGCUACACAUUGGUGAAGAGGGAACUAAAGAAGGAGCUUCUCCUGAAGCUGGAUCUCUGGAUCAGCCAGAAGUAGCUCCUCUUCACGCUGUCAUCCGAUUGGAUAGAACAUUCUUACUGAUGAUCUUAGAGAAACGAACAAGAAGUGUUCUCUUUUUAGGGAAAGUUGUUGACCCAACAAAAGAGUAAUUAACGAAGAGGUCAUUGAGUAUGUAUAUAUUAUAAUUGGAAAUAAAUGUAUUGCAUAGCUUAAUAUUUGCUAUGGACUUGAACUUUAUUUCUUUUGUGCAAGUGAUAAAAGUAGACAUUCUCAGGAGUAC